GAUGAACGCUGGCGGCGUGCCUAAUACAUGCAAGUCGAGCGAACAGACGAGGAGCUUGCUCCUCUGACGUUAGCGGCGGACGGGUGAGUAACACGUGGAUAACCUACCUAUAAGACUGGGAUAACUUCGGGAAACCGGAGCUAAUACCGGAUAAUAUAUUGAACCGCAUGGUUCAAUAGUGAAAGACGGUUUUGCUGUCACUUAUACAUGGAUCCGCGCCGCAUUAGCUAGUUGGUAAGGUAACGGCUUACCAAGGCGACGAUGCGUAGCCGACCUGAGAGGGUGAUCGGCCACACUGGAACUGAGACACGGUCCAGACUCCUACGGGAGGCAGCAGUAGGGAAUCUUCCGCAAUGGGCGAAAGCCUGACGGAGCAACGCCGCGUGAGUGAUGAAGGUCUUCGGAUCGUAAAACUCUGUUAUUAGGGAAGAACAAAUGUGUAAGUAACUAUGCACGUCUUGACGGUACCUAAUCAGAAAGCCACGGCUAACUACGUG
rnacentral:rRNA from 1 species